GCUGGGUGCGAUGGUGCGUGCCUGUAGUCCCAGCUACUCAGGAGGCUGAGGUGGGAGAAUUGUAUGAGCUCAGGAGUUCUGGGCUGUAGUGCCCUACGCUGAUUGGGUGUCCGCACUAAUUUUGGCAUCAAUAUGGUGACCUCCUGGGAGCGGGGACCACCAGGUUGCCUAAGGAGAGGUGAACCGGCCCAGGUCGGAAAUGGAGCAGGUCGAAACUCCCGUGCUGAUCAGUAGUGGGAUCGCACCUGUGAAUAGCCACUGCACUCCAGCCUGGCAACAUAGUGAGACCCCAUCUCU
rnacentral:SRP_RNA from 1 species